UACUCAGAUGAGCUUAGGAAAUAAGAAAAAAUUUGUUGAGCGCCGAUAGCAUCGCCCGUGUGUUCGUGGAGAAACCGCGUGAAAUCCAAAAUGUAACAAGGAAGAACGCUAUAGCCGGUCUCGACUAUGACAUACCCAUUACUUAGCUUAACGGAGCAAAAGAUAAAUGGAGAUAUAUAGCCGCAAAGCAAUAUUGUAAUGCGCUACCUACGUGCUAUUUCAGUUAGGUCUAUGGAUAGGUUAUGAUGAGUCAAUGCUACAAUUAUAAUUGUAUCGUGGAUGAGACAAAUACAUUUUAGCAAAAAUCAGUCGAGAGGCGCUACAGAUUUUUAGAUUGUGGAUUGUGGCCCUGCAGUUCCGCAGUCCGGUCGUCGGGAGCGCAAGAAGUUUUUUGUUUUUUUUUAAUGCCUAAAACUGUAUGCUGUCGAUGUCAGCAGAGAAUUUGGAGCAGCUUACAAGACUUCCGACAAAAACAGUUCGGCAAAAAAGACAGGCAGAUCUUCACAUAUAAGCCUCUCUUUCUGUGUCUUAUAAUCUGGCUGCCCGCGGCUCUUAAAGAGCAACCUUUGGCCGGUUCUUUUGUUUUGCUUCCCUUUGUUAUGUUCAGAGAGAAACCAAAGGAAGAAGAAGACCUGGUGCAUUCUGUUUGGUUUAUGAAAGGAGAAACAGCGGCUUUUUAAAUUGUGCGCUGCGACCCAUUUUAAUUUAUUAAUAAAAGUUAUAUUUUUUGAAAAAAAAUCAAGUUAGGUAAGUGCUUCCUUAAGUUGAAGAUGUUGUGCGUCGAUCCACGUUUAAGGAACGUCCCUUUCUGAGCUUUUUUUUUAUAGAUUUUAAAACAUAACCCGUUCCGUUACCGUUUAAAAAAAAAACAGAUUUAUGAUUUUAAGAUUUAAUGAUACAAUUUAAAUAAAAAAAACGCGAAUUUCCGAUGGGAAUUCCCUUGGACAAGUCCCUUGCAAGGGAAUUCACAUUUGAAACGAAAUGGAAAAAUCAAGAAUUUCCGAAGGGAUUUCCCUGGAACGUGUCCCUACACUACGAGUAGCGUUAAUAGAAAUGGAGGGAAAAACGCAAAUAUUACUCCAAAGACGCUUUCACGAGGUACUCAAUCAUUCAUGAGAAGCCCAUAAGAAGGAGCAUGACAACUUGGACUUAUCUCCGCUGUGUUUUCCAUCGGGCGAGAAAUGGACUCCAUUACCAUCAGCAACUUGGCAGCCAUUCCGGCUCCAAAUUCCGCCAGGCCCUUGUGAGAAUAUUGCGAAUCGGAAGUGCACUGCAGAUGGCACGAAAAAGAGUGCAAAGCAUCUGCGACAGUAAAAGUAAGCUUUAAGCUACUCAUUAAAAAUAAAUAAAAAGAUUCCUAGAAACA